UACGAAGGGGGCUAGCGUUGUUCGGAAUUACUGGGCGUAAAGGGCUCGUAGGCGGCCAACUAAGUCGGACGUGAAAUCCCUCAGCUUAACUGGGGAACUGCGUCCGAUACUGGAUGGCUUGGAUUUGGGAGAGGGAUGCGGAAUUCCAGGUGUAGCGGUGAAAUGCGUAGAUAUCUGGAGGAACACCGGUGGCGAAGGCGGCAUCCUGGACCAACAUUGACGCUGAGGAGCGAAAGCUAGGGGAGCAAACGGG
rnacentral:rRNA from 1 species